rnacentral:tRNA from 1 species
GCAAUAGUAGCUCAGCGACAGAGCAUCGGUCUUGUAAGCCGAACGGCGGAGGUUAAAAUCCUCCCUAUUG